rnacentral:rRNA from 1 species
AUUGAACGCUGGCGGCAGGCCUAACACAUGCAAGUCGAACGGUAACAGGAAGAAGCUUGCUUCUUUGCUGACGAGUGGCGGACGGGUGAGUAAUGUCUGGGAAACUGCCUGAUGGAGGGGGAUAACUACUGGAAACGGUAGCUAAUACCGCAUAACGUCGCAAGACCAAAAAGGGGGACCUUCGGGCCUCUUGCCAUCGGAUGUGCCCAGAUGGGAUUAGCUAGUAGGUGGGGUAACGGCUCACCUAGGCGACGAUCCCUAGCUGGUCUGAGAGGAUGACCAGCCACACUGGGACUGAGACACGGUCCAGACUCCUACGGGAGGCAGCAGUGGGGAAUAUUGCACAAUGGGCGCAAGCCUGAUGCAGCCAUGCCGCGUGUAUGAAGAAGGCCUUCGGGUUGUAAAGUACUUUCAGCGGGGAGGAAGGGAGUAAAGUUAAUACCUUUGCUCAUUGACGUUACCCGCAGAAGAAGCACCGGCUAACUCCGUG